UCAGCGCAAUGAUAUGGAUUAACUAAAAACUAUUGUUCAUAGUGAGCAGAAACCGGCGUCGUAAAACAAAUCUUUUGCCGACUUGUCCCGUUCUGAGACAUGAUAUUAGGAGAACGGACUAUUUUUUAACAAGACCAUGAAGGUCAUCUGGCACCUUUGUACGCUGUUCAUUUUGACGUUGAUUCACAAGAAAAGUGCACAAGUCAAUAGAGGUACGAAUGUCUAAAAACUUGGAAUGUUAUCAACAUUUCCAAUCGACUGGUCGAGUCUGUUAAACUCGACGAUUUGCGAUUCUUCCUUUUUGUUCUGUAUCGUAUUCUUUUUCUUCACCCUCCAUAAUAAGUCAUAAAACUUCACGUUCGCCAGCAAAUGGCGCAAGUAGCGACUCCCCGAAAGUAACGAUGCUUGUAAAGUAGCGUUCUCAAACACAGCUUUGCCUCUUAGGAGAAACAAUGCGGAAAUAUAUAUUAUAAACAAAUACAAGAAGCUGCACUAGAAGGAUCAUCCUAAAAUAUAUUUUAACAUAUCCAUAUGUCAUUGUCUGCUCUCAGUAUAUCGACAUAUUUUAUUUUAUUUGGGACGCUUGCCCUAAAUAACAUGCCUUUGCUACCGGAAAGUAGCGAUCCGCGGAAAUAUAUGCGAUAUGAUUAUUAAAAGGACUGCUAAAUCCGAAACUAAAAGAGAGACUUUACUUUCGAAGUUUCACGGUUGUUGGUCCCGUCCGGGUAAAUAGUGCAAAGAAGCAAAUUAUGA